rnacentral:rRNA from 1 species
UAAUACGUAGGUGGCGAGCGUUGUCCGGAUUUACUGGGCGUAAAGGAUGCGUAGGCGGAUAUUUAAGUGAGAUGUGAAAUACCCGAGCUUAACUUGGGUGCUGCAUUUCAAACUGGAUAUCUAGAGUGUGGGAGAGGAGAAUGGAAUUCCUAGUGUAGCGGUGAAAUGCGUAGAGAUUAGGAAGAACACCAGUGGCGAAGGCGAUUCUCUGGACCAUAACUGACGCUGAGGCAUGAAAGCGUGGGUAGCAAACAG